AGUGAACGCUGGCGGCGUGCCUAAUACAUGCAAGUCGAACGGAUUGGCGAACGGGGGGGUAAUGGAUAGCUUAUCUGCCCUACACUAUAGCACAACAGUGGGAAAAGGCUGCUAAUACUCUUUAGUGUAGGAGGUGGCUAUAAUGUAUCAGCUAGUUGGUGACGUAAUGGCUCACAAAGGCUAUGAUGCAUAACUGGUCUGGGAGGAUGAUCAGUAACACCGGAACUGAGACACGGUUCAGACUCCUACGGGAGGCGGCAUGAGGGAAUAUUGCUCAAUGGGGGAAACCCUGAAGCAGCAUCGCCGCGUGGAGGAUGACACUUUUCGGAGCGUAAACUCGUUUUUUUAGGGAAGCGGUAUCUAACGAGUAAGCACCGGCUAACUCCGUGCCAGCAGCCGCGGUAAUUC
rnacentral:rRNA from 1 species